CCACAUUUCCUGAAUGAGAAGGAGAACGUUCCUUCCCUGACCUCUUACGCGUUAUCACUGCGUCAUUUCCUCGUAUGUGCCGCCUCCCCCACAAAAGCCCAGAUCCUCUCUUUUAAACCUUAUAAAAGGAGAUUACCUUCCACAGCCUCUUCAUCCAUCAAGCCUACAACCACCUUCGUCUCAUUCCUUAAGUCGUCCUUACAACCAGGUUUGUGCUUAAUUUAUUGUUUCUCUAAUCACCUUUUCUUAUCUGCCACCACCAUGUCUGAGGAGAACCACCACCACAGCCAACACUCACACCACAAGGAGAAAAAACCCGCCGGAGAAAUGACGAAGCAUGACUAUGAGAAGGAAGUGAAACACCACAAGCACUUGGAGCACUUCGGAAAGUUAGGUGCUGUAGCCGCUGUUGCUGUUGCUCGGCAUGAGAAGCAUAAGGCAAAGAAGGACCCAUAGAAUGCUCAAAGCCACAGGAUGAAAGAGGAGAUUGCAGCAACAGCUGCAGUGGCCAGUGUUGGAUUUGCUAUCCAUGAGCACCAUCAGAAGAAAGAUGCUAAAAAGGAUAAAGAAUAAGCUUUCGGGAAGAAACACCAUCACUUCUGAAAGUCAUUUCUCUAGUUCUCCCCCUCCCCCUAUCUUUUAUUUAUUUAGUUUUUUCCAGUUAGUAUUGUUUCUGUUCAAAGAUUUGAGGAUGAGAUGUAUCAUAGUAUAGUGCUAUAGUUAAUGAAAAUUGAAGCCCAGUACCGCUUCAAUUUGGUUGAUAUGUUUCUCUUUGUGGCCUUACCAAUAAAUUAAACUUUCAUUAUUUUUUUUUA